rnacentral:rRNA from 1 species
UACGUAGGGUCCGAGCGUUGUCCGGAAUUACUGGGCGUAAAGAGCUUGUAGGCGGUUCGUCGCGUCGGUUGUGAAAACUUGGGGCUCAACCUUAAGCUUGCAGGCGAUACGGGCGGACUAGAGUACUUCAGGGGAGACUGGAAUUCCUGGUGUAGCGGUGAAAUGCGCAGAUAUCAGGAGGAACACCGGUGGCGAAGGCGGGUCUCUGGGAAGUAACUGACGCUGAGAAGCGAAAGCAUGGGUAGCAGACAGG